CUUCUGAGGACUGUAUCAUUUUCCUGUAGCACCUUCUAGGACAAGCCUGUGUUCCACACCUAGCAGCUCAACAAAACUUUCCCUUCCUCUUGAAAAAUGCCCUUGGGUAGCUGUGAUGCCAGGCAUAGCCUUGACCUGCGGAGCAGCAGGUGGUGUCCUGGAGGCAGCCAACCGCAGCACCAUCCUUCCCAAGGGUACACUUUCUGCAACUUUGGUUUCUUUCAAUAUCAUGAGAUGAUGCUGAUGUCUGCUAGUGAACGCUGAUUCCAAUCAGUAUGUGCUUCACAUACUUAAAAGUGCUUUAUUAGCUGCCUGCACACCCAGGAUCAUGGCUCCUGAUUAAUUGACCUCUGUUUCCACAUCGCAUUCCUUUUCGUCUGGACGAUUCUUGUUCUGAGGUGUGUCCUAACUGACAGAUGGGAGGUUGUUCCUUAAGCCAGAGUUUGCCUCCUCUCCCAUUGUGAUCAUAUGAAUGACAGUGCUCCCCAACCCCAUAGCUAAUAUGUUUGAAUGCUUGG